CUCUACGAGAAGUCCAUUGAACCUUAUCAUUUAGAGGAAGGAGAAGUCGUAACAAGGUUUCCGUAGGUGAACCUGCGGAAGGAUCAUUGUCGAGAUCGAUCAAGCAAUUCGGAGAACCCGUGAAAUAAGCAACAAAACAUUCAUCACAGUCGCAGCCUCGUCGCCUCGGUUGGCGGGUUGCGAUGAAUGGUGGAUGAGAAAAACUCAAACCGACGCAACUCUGCGUCAAGGGAAUUCAGGAAAACAUGGGUCUGCGAUAUCGGGCUUACUGGCAUGGAGUGCUAUUAUUGCACACCAAAUGUAUUGACACGACUCUCGACAAUGGAUAUCUCGGCUCUCGCAUCGAUGAAGAGCGCAGCGAAAUGCGAUAUGUGGUGCGAAUUGCAGAAUCCCGUGAACCAUCGAGUCUUUGAACGCAAGUUGCGCCCGAGGCCAAUCGGCCAAGGGCACGUCUGCCUGGGCGUCUAGCGUUGUAUCGCUCCGUGUCAACUCCAUCAUGUCGAUGGGCGUGAUGGAUGAGGCUAGGAUGUGCAUAGUGGCUCGUCGUGCCCAUCGGUGCGGCGGGUUGAAGAGCGGGUCGACAUCUCAUUGGCCACGAACAACAAUGGGUGGAUAAAAGUUUGAGCAAGUCCUAUGUUGUCUCGUGGCUUCUCGAGAAAAGAAUUUAUACCUUGGAGGUGAUCCCAACCCAUGCGACGGCUUGGAAUGCGACCCCAGGAUGGGCGAGGCCACCCGCCGAGUUUAAGCAUAUCAA
rnacentral:rRNA from 1 species